rnacentral:rRNA from 1 species
AACGAACGCUGGCGGCAUGCCUAACACAUGCAAGUCGAACGAGACCUUCGGGUCUAGUGGCGCACGGGUGCGUAACGCGUGGGAACCUGCCCUUAGGUUCGGAAUAACUCCCCGACAGGGGUGCUAAUACCGGAUAAUGUCUUCGGACCAAAGAUUUAUCGCCUUUGGAUGGGCCCGAGUUGGAUUAGCUAGUUGGUAGGGUAAAAGCCUACCAAGGCGACGAUCCAUAGCUGGUCAGAGAGGAUGAUCAGCCACACUGGGACUGAGACACGGCCCAGACUCCUACGGGAUGCAGCAGUGGGGAAUAUUGGACAAUGGGCGAAAGCCUGAUCCAGCAAUGCCGCGUGAGUGAUGAAGGCCUUAGGGUUGUAAAGCUCUUUUACCCGGGAUGAUAAUGACAGUACCGGGAGAAUAAGCUCCGGCUAACUCCGUG